GAUGAACGCUGGCGGCGUGCCUAAUACAUGCAAGUCGAGCGAACAGAUAAGGAGCUUGCUCCUUUGACGUUUGCGGCGGACGGGUGAGUAACACGUGGGUAACCUACCUAUAAGACUGGGAUAACUUCGGGAAACCGGAGCUAAUACCGGAUAACAUUUGGAACCGCAUGGUUCUAAAGUGAAAGAUGGUUUUGCUAUCACUUAUAGAUGGACCCGCGCCGUAUUAGCUAGUUGGUAAGGUAACGGCUUACCAAGGCGACGAUACGUAGCCGACCUGAGAGGGUGAUCGGCCACACUGGAACUGAGACACGGUCCAGACUCCUACGGGAGGCAGCAGUAGGGAAUCUUCCGCAAUGGGCGAAAGCCUGACGGAGCAACGCCGCGUGAGUGAUGAAGGGUUUCGGCUCGUAAAACUCUGUUAUUAGGGAAGAACAAAUGUGUAAGUAACUGUGCACGUCUUGACGGUACCUAAUCAGAAAGCCACGGCUAACUACGUG
rnacentral:rRNA from 1 species